GAUGAACGCUGGCGGCGUGCCUAAUACAUGCCAGUCGAGCGAACGGACGAGAAGCUUGCUUCUCUGAUGUUAGCGGCGGACGGGUGAGUAACACGUGGAUAACCUACCUAUAAGACUGGGAUAACUUCGGGAAACCGGAGCUAAUACCGGAUAAUAUUUUGAACCGCAUGGUUCAAAAGUGAAAGACGGUCUUGCUGUCACUUAUAGAUGGAUCCGCGCUGCAUUAGCUAGUUGGUAAGGUAACGGCUUACCAAGGCAACGAUGCAUAGCCGACCUAAGAGGGUGAUCGGCCACACUGGAACUGAGACACGGUCCAGACUCCUACGGGAGGCAGCAGUAGGGAAUCCUCCGCAAUGGGCGAAAGCCUGACGGAGCAACGCCGCGUGAGUGAUGAAGGUCUUCGGAUCGUAAAACUCUGUUAUUAGGGAAGAACAUAUGUGUAAGUAACUGUGCACAUCUUGACGGUACCUAAUCAGAAAGCCACGGCUAACUACGUG
rnacentral:rRNA from 1 species